rnacentral:lncRNA from 1 species
AUUAGGUCGAGAUUUUAACCUACUAUAGUUCCCUCAACUAAGGGAAUCUAAUAAUCAUGAAAUGUUCCUUUUGCCUAAAAACAUAAUAGGCACAUUGAGAUUUAACUCAAUUUAAUCACGACAUUACCACCAACAUAGAAAAAGUUAGAGUUUAAAUUUGUUUUCCAUGAAAAAGGAAUACUUAUUGCAACCUGCAAAUAAU